rnacentral:rRNA from 1 species
CGUGGAGACAGGUGGUGCAUGGUUGUCGUCAGCUCGUGUCGUGAGAUGUUGGGUUAAGUCCCGCAACGAGCGCAACCCUUAUGAUCAGUUACCAGCGGGUGAAGCCGGGGACUCUGGUCAGACUGCCGGUGACAAACCGGAGGAAGGUGGGGACGACGUCAAGUCCUCAUGGCCUUUAUGCCCAGGGCUACACACGUGCUACAAUGGGCGGCACAAAGGGAAGCGACGCCGCGAGGUGUAGCAAAUCCCAAAAAACCGUUCUCAGUUCGGAUCGGAGUCUGCAACUCGACUCCGUGAAGUUGGAAUCGCUAGUAAUCGUGGAUCAGCAUGCCACGGUGAAUACGUUCCCGGGCCUUGUACACACCGCCCGUCACACCACGAAAGUCUGCUGUACUCGAAGUCGCUGAG